CGGUGCUGGAGCUGAGUCAGAGGAAGCUGAGUCGCCUGAGGAACAGGGAGCUGCUGGACGACUGGACCACGGUGGAGGAGCUGCUGGCUCACGGCACCCGGCUGCACAACCAGGACGGCGUGCCGCGCAGCAGCUCGCUGCUCACGGUCACCACCGUGUGACCGCAACUGUAACCGCGCGCGUCGGGAGCUGAAAAUAGAGCCGCCGUCCUCAUGUGAUGUGGAUUUAAAAGCACACUGGAGCGGAGACACUUGCUGCUGGUUUUACUCCAUCUGCCCCCCCCCCAGACACCCCCCCCUCCUCCGCCUCCAUCCGUCUGUGCGAGGGUAAUUUUCACGACAGCGAGCUUUUUGGGGGGUAAUUUGACGAUGUACAUGUGAUUGUAAUAAAGAGAUUUUAAUUAGCUAUGA